UGGGGAAUUUUGGACAAUGGGCGAAAGCCUGAUCCAGCAAUGCCGCGUGUGUGAAGAAGGCCUUCGGGUUGUAAAGCACUUUUGUCCGGAAAGAAAUCCUUGGCUCUAAUACAGUCGGGGGAUGACGGUACCGGAAGAAUAAGCACCGGCUAACUACGUGCCAGCAGCCGCGGUAAUACGUAGGGUGCAAGCGUUAAUCGGAAUUACUGGGCGUAAAGCGUGCGCAGGCGGUUUGCUAAGACCGAUGUGAAAUCCCCGGGCUCAACCUGGGAACUGCAUUGGUGACUGGCAGGCUAGAGUAUGGCAGAGGGGGGUAGAAUUCCACGUGUAGCAGUGAAAUGCGUAGAGAUGUGGAGGAAUACCGAUGGCGAAGGCAGCCCCCUGGGCCGAUACUGACGCUCAUGCACGAAAAGCGUGGGGAGCAAACAGGAUUAGAUACCCUGGUAGUCCACGCCCUAAAACGAUGUCAACUAGUUGUUGGGGAUUCAUUUCCUUAGUAACGUAGCUAACGCGUGAAGUUGACCGCCUGGGGAGUACGGUCGCAAGAUUAAAACUUAAAUGAAUUGACGGGGUCAUA
rnacentral:rRNA from 1 species